rnacentral:rRNA from 1 species
AGCGUAGGCGGACAUUUAAGUCAGGGGUGAAAUCCCGGGGCUCAACCUCGGAAUUGCCUUUGAUGCUGGGUGUCUUGAGUAUGAGAGAGGUGUGUGGAACUCCGAGUGUAGAGGUGAAAUUCGUAGAUAUUCGGAAGAACACCAGUGGCGAAGGCGACACACUGGCUCAUUACUGACGCUGAGGCUCGAAAGCGUGGGGAGCAAACA